UACGGUUAUGUCAUGUUGAAACACCAGUUCCCAUACGAUCACCGGAGUUAAGCAACGUCGAGCCUGGUCAGUAGCUAGAUGGGAAACCGCUUUGGAAUAUUACGUGCUGA